AUGGAAGGCCUGCUGCCGUUCCUGUACAGGGCCAUCGUCCUCCACUAUGCCGAAGGCGGCGGGUGGCGGACGGCCACCGGAGACAGCCCCUUCCUCGGCAGCGACUCGCCAUCUGCCUCUCGGCACUACUAUGUCCGCCUCGCCGGCAGCGCCGACGACUCUGGCCGCCUCCAGUUCGCCCCCUCUUCUCUUGCCAGCCGCAACGCGCUCCUGUGA
rnacentral:rRNA from 1 species